ensembl:lncRNA
GUAAGGAAAUGUAUUACUAAGUUUUAGUGACCAGUAAAAAAAACUGUAACCUUUCUUCAAAUAUGAACACAGGUUUUAAGUAAAAUGAUUAAUAACAGAUUUUAACACAUUUAUCACUUGUUAGUCAUAAAAAAAUGAGUAAUGAGUAAGAAAAGAAAUAACGCAGUGACAUAAGCCCAACGUAUGACGUAUGAUGAAGACGUGCCUUUUUUGUGGGAAGUCCCUUUUUGUAUCUGCACAAAAUAAAAACAUGGGGAACAGCGGUUUGUGUGCCAAAAAGACUAAUGAGGACCAUCCAGGGGCCACUCCCUCUAAUGUUGAGAAUCGGGACCCUAACCAACUAUUGAUGAACCCUGAACAAUGUAAAGAAGACCCAUUUGGUUUUAAAACCAAUGUGUAUUAUGAAAAUCAGUUCUUACCUUGGAGAUGCGUGCCUACUGCAAUGAACGUCAUGGAGAUAAGGCAAGGAGGUAGGAUGUCCCAGGAGCUCUAUGUGAACGCAGCCCUCUGAAGACCAAGCCAGUGUCAAGUUGACUCAGGACCCUGCCUUUUGGGAGACAAUAGUCUGGCCUGACCCCAACCACAGUGAUUCAGGUUCACUCUUCACCACAGCUCAAACAUUAUUGGGCCUUUGAAUGUUGUGCCUCAUUUCCUUUUUCAACAUCCUACCAUGUCAGCAGGGACCCAACCACUGCCAACAGGAAAAGGGAACAGGGCGCUCCUACUUGUUAACAUUAUGCCAUCUGUGUCACUUGCACAUCAACAGGUUGAGGGUGUCACAAAAGGCAAAGCAAGGAAGGCCUGCUCAAAACGCCUUACUUUAAAGCCUUCCUAUUGUUUCUCUUUCAUCUAGACAAGCAUGCAGGUUUGCAACGCAUC